GACGAACGCUGGCGGCGUGCUUAACACAUGCAAGUCGAACGGUAAGGCCUUCGGGUACACGAGUGGCGAACGGGUGAGUAACACGUGGGUGAUCUGCCCCCUACUCUGGGAUAAGCCUGGGAAACUGGGUCUAAUACCGGAUAUGACCUCCUUCUGCAUGGUUGGUGGUGGAAAGUUUUUUCGGUAGGGGAUGAGCCCGCGGCCUAUCAGCUUGUUGGUGGGGUAAUGGCCUACCAAGGCGACGGCGGGUAGCCGGCCUGAGAGGGCGACCGGCCACACUGGGACUGAGACACGGCCCAGACUCCUACGGGAGGCAGCAGUGGGGAAUAUUGCACAAUGGGCGAAAGCCUGAUGCAGCGACGCCGCGUGGGGGAUGACGGCCUUCGGGUUGUAAACCCCUUUCAGUCGGGACGAAGCGAGAGUGACGGUACCGAUAGAAGAAGCACCGGCCAACUACGUGCCAGCCGCCGCCGUAAGAC
rnacentral:rRNA from 1 species